ACGACGUCGAAUUCGGGCGGAGCGCCCAC
rnacentral:sRNA from 1 species